UGCAGUCGAACGAUGAACUCCAGCUUGCUGGGGGGAUUAGUGGCGAACGGGUGAGUAACACGUGAGUAACCUGCCCUUGACUCUGGGAUAAGCGCUGGAAACGGCGUCUAAUACCGGAUACGAGCUUCAGCCGCAUGGCUAGGAGUUGGAAAGAAUUUCGGUCAAGGAUGGACUCGCGGCCUAUCAGCUAGUUGGUGAGGUAAUGGCUCACCAAGGCGACGACGGGUAGCCGGCCUGAGAGGGUGACCGGCCACACUGGGACUGAGACACGGCCCAGACUCCUACGGGAGGCAGCAGUGGGGAAUAUUGCACAAUGGGCGAAAGCCUGAUGCAGCAACGCCGCGUGAGGGAUGACGGCCUUCGGGUUGUAAACCUCUUUUAGUAGGGAAGAAGCGAAAGUGACGGUACCUGCAGAAAAAGCACCGGCUAACUACGUGCCAGCCGCCSCSGGUAAUACA
rnacentral:rRNA from 1 species